GACGAACGCUGGCGGCGUGCUUAACACAUGCAAGUCGAACGGUGAAGCGCUUGCCUUUUUGGUGGGUGUGGAUGAGUGGCGAACGGGUGAGUAACACGUGAGUAACCUGCCCUCUUCUUCUGGAUAACCUCAUGAAAGUGGGGCUAAUACGGGGUAUUCCGGUUCUGUCGCAUGGCGGGUUUGGGAAAGAUUGCGCCUUUGGGUGUUUUCGGUGGGGGAUGGGCUCGCGGCCUAUCAGCUUGUUGGUGGGGUGAUGGCCUACCAAGGCGGUGACGGGUAGCCGGCCUGAGAGGGUGGACGCCCACACUGGGACUGAGACACGGCCCAGACUCCUGCGGGAGGCAGCAGUGGGGAAUAUUGCACAAUGGGCGCAAGCCUGAUGCAGCGACGCCGCGUGAGGGAUGGAGGCCUUCGGGUGGUGAACCUCUUUCGCCAGUGAAGCAGGCCUGCUCCUGUGUGGGUGGGUUGACGGUAGCUGGAUAAGAAGCGCCGGCUAACUACGUG
rnacentral:rRNA from 1 species